rnacentral:rRNA from 1 species
CGAGAAAGCCCGCAAGGGUGAGUAAACCGGCGAACGGGUGCGUAACACGUGGAUAAUCUACCUUCCUGACUGGGACAACUGGCCGAAAGGCUUGCUAAUACCAGAUAAGCCCACGGCGUCUUUGGACGCUGAGGGAAAAGGUGGCCUCUGCAUGCAAGCUAUCGCAGGGAGAUGAGUCCGCGGCCCAUCAGCUAGUUGGCGGGGUAAAAGCCCACCAAGGCUACGACGGGUAGCUGGUCUGAGAGGAUGAUCAGCCACACUGGAACUGAGACACGGUCCAGACUCCUACGGGAGGCAGCAGUGGGGAAUCUUGCGCAAUGGGCGAAAGCCUGACGCAGCAACGCCGCGUGUGUGAUGAAGGUCUUCGGAUCGUAAAGCACUGUCGCGAGGGACG